rnacentral:rRNA from 1 species
UACGUAGGGCGCAAGCGUUGUCCGGAAUUAUUGGGCGUAAAGAGCUCGUAGGCGGCCAGUUGCGUCCGCUGUGAAAUCCCGGGGCUUAACCCCGGGCGUGCAGUGGAUACGGGCUGGCUAGAGGCAGGCAGGGGAGAACGGAAUUCCCGGUGUAGCGGUGAAAUGCGCAGAUAUCGGGAGGAACACCGGUGGCGAAAGCGGCUCACUGGACCACAACUGACGCUGAGGCGGCGAAAGCUG